GGGUCGUGCCAAGGGGCGAUGGCGAUAAUCUGGGCUCGAAACUAGGAAGGGUGCUUUGAGGCGCCGUUUUACAACUUUGCAACGGGCGCAAAUAUUCCUUGGCACGGCCUUGCUGCUCCACCUAUCAAAGAAGUCUGCAGAUGUUAUUCCCAGCCAUAUGCAAAUUCUCUGUCAUAUUUUCAAACUGCGGAAUAUGCAAGGGUAUCGUUUCAUGGAUUUCCAUAAAUGAACACAUAUUUAUAUGAUUUAUAAUACUCAAA
rnacentral:lncRNA from 1 species